AGCUUUGUGCAGUGGCGGUAUCGUAGCCAAUGAGGUUUAUCCGAGGCGCGAUUAUUGCUAAUUAAAAGAGAGCACAUACAUUAAAUUCGCUGAAAUAAAGAAUGCUUCAUUAAAAUUACCUGCAGACAUUUAUGAAAG